ACAUUUUUAAAAUUAUGGCUCUGAAAUUGGAACGAUGCAGAAGAUUACCAUUGCCUCUUCGCAUGGACGACGCGCAAAUUCGUGAAGCAUUCCAUUUUUUA